AGUGAACGCUGGCGGUAGGCCUAACACAUGCAAGUCGAACGGCAGCACAGUAAGAGCUUGCUCUUACGGGUGGCGAGUGGCGGACGGGUGAGGAAUACAUCGGAAUCUACUUUUUCGUGGGGGAUAACGUAGGGAAACUUACGCUAAUACCGCAUACGACCUACGGGUGAAAGCAGGGGAUCUUCGGACCUUGCGCGAUUGAAUGAGCCGAUGUCGGAUUAGCUAGUUGGCGGGGUAAAGGCCCACCAAGGCGACGAUCCGUAGCUGGUCUGAGAGGAUGAUCAGCCACACUGGAACUGAGACACGGUUCAGACUCCUACGGGAGGCAGCAGUGGGGAAUAUUGGACAAUGGGCGCAAGCCUGAUCCAGCCAUACCGCGUGGGUGAAGAAGGCCUUCGGGUUAUAAAGCCCUUUUGUUGGGAAAGAAAAGCAGCAGGUUAAUACCCCGCUGUUCUGACGGUACCCAAAGAAUAAGCACCGGCUAACUUCGUG
rnacentral:rRNA from 1 species